GGGGGAAAAUUAAUAGAAUUAAAGUUAAUAAAAUAAAUUUUAAAGUUAAAAAUAAAUAAUGGGGGUUAAAGUAUUUUUAAUGGAAAAAAUUUAAAAUUUUAUAGUAAAUUAGUAUAGUAGGGGAAAUUUGAAAUAAUUUAAAAAUUAAUUAAUAGGAAAGAAAAUUUAAUUUAUUGUAUCUUGUGUAUCAGAGUUUAUUAAAUAAAAUUUUUUAAUUAAAAAAAUCUCGAAUUUAAAAGAGUUAAUUAAUUAUAAAAGUUAAUGUAACAUAAUUAUUUUUAAUAAUUAAUUUGAAAUGAGAUGUUAAUCGUUUUUAAAUAUAUCUAGUUAUUUUAGAAAAAAAUUUAAUUUUAAAUUUAAAUAAUUUUAUAAUUUAAUAAAAAAAUUAUAAAAAUUUAUAUUUAAUAUUUUAAGGGAUAAGCUUUAAAUUAAAAGUUUAUAAUAAAAAUUAAUUAAAAUUAAAAUUUUUAAAAUUUAUAUUGUUUAAAAAUUAUAGUUUAUUAUAAAGAAUUUUAUAAAAAAAAUAAAAUUUAAUGGGGGAAAUUUAAAUUUUUAUAAAAUAAUAAUUUUUAAUAGGGGAAAAUUAAUAAUAAUGAUAAAAUUAGUAUAAAUAAUAAUUUUAUUUGUUAAAUACAAAAAUAAAAUUAAUUAAAAGGAAUUCGGCAAAAUAAAAUAUUCACUUGUUUAUCAAAAACAUGUCUUUUUGGGUAUAAUUUAAAGUCUAAUCUGCCCACUGAUUUAUAUUAAAGGGCUGCAGUAUAUUGACUGUACAAAGGUAGCAUAAUCAUUAGUUUUUUAAUUGAAAACUUGUAUGAAGGAUUUGAUGAAAUAUUAACUGUCUCUUAAUUAUUGUUAAAAAUUUAUUUUUUAGUUAAAAAGCUAAAAUAAUUUUAAAAGACGAGAAGACCCUAUAGAGUUUUAUAUUUAGUUAUAUUUUAAAUAUAUAUAUAUAUAUAUUUAAAUUAAUAUUAAAAUAUAAUUGAAUAUUAUAUUGGGGUGAUAGAAAAAUUAAAUUAACUUUUUUUAAAAAUUGACCAUAAAUAAAUGAUUAUAUGAUCCAUUAAUAAUGAUUAUAAGAAAAAAUUACCUUAGGGAUAACAGCGUAAUAUUUUUUUUUAGUUCAGAUAAAAAAAAAAGUUUGCGACCUCGAUGUUGGAUUAAGAUAAAAUUUAAAUGCAAAAGUUUAAAAUUUUGAUCUGUUCGAUCAUUAAAAUCUUACAUGAUCUGAGUUCAAACCGGUGUAAGCCAGGUUGGUUUCUAUCUUUAGGGAAAGAUAAUGUUUUAGUACGAAAGGAUCAAAUAUUAAAAAUAAUUUUAAUAAUAAAGAAUGUUAUUAAUUUAUAUAAAAAUAAAUU
rnacentral:rRNA from 1 species